CGUUUUGGCUCAGUGAAACAAUCUGACAAGUAACCAAGAGGUUGUGGGUUCGAUCCCUGGCCUCACUCAGUGGGUUAAGGAUCCGGCAUUGCCGUGAGUGUGGUGUAGGUCGCACACUUGGCUUGGAUCCUGUGUUGCUGUGGUGUAGGCUGGCAGCCGUAGCUCCAGUUUGACCCCUAGCCAGGGAACCUCCAUAUGCUGUGGGUUCAGCCCUAAAAAAAGCAAAAAAAAAAAAAAUUUUUUUUUUUGGUCUGUAAAGUGAGGAUUUUUUUUUCUUUCUUUUUUAUUAUUAUGUUUUCUUUUUAGGGCCACACCUGCAGCAUAUGUAACUCCAAUUCGGCCCCUAGCCCAGGAACUUCCAUGUGCCGCGGAUGCGGCCCUUAAAAAAAAAAAAAGAAAGAAAGAUAAGACUUAGUUUCUUCUAUAGCCUCAUCUGAAACCCCUUUCCAAGACCAUGGGUCAUUGUCAUACUUAGCUCAGAGUUUUCUCAACAGCAAGGCCAAGACUAAUCCCUUCUCAUAAAUCCUCUAAGCUGUCAGCAAACAAACCCCUUCUUAACCAGUCUAACACAAAAGCCAUGAGCUAGGAAUACAGAGCCAGUACAUAGUUGCUUAAGGGCAGUUGAUUUUCAGUUUCCAGAUUACCAGUCUGUGCCUUCUUGUCUGUUCUUGGCCCAUAAAGUUGUAGGUGUCAUGCUGCAUAUUUCAGAGUGGCCCCUAGAUGUUGAACAGAUGCAGAAAGCUGUGAUUUCCCUAUUAUGAGAGAUCUAGGUACCUGUGGUUUCCACCCUCUGAUUAUUAGGUGAAAAAGAUUAAGACUGGCUGCUUUCAGGAUUGGAGUAAGUGAGACUAGAAAUACAUUUCUUUCUUAAAGCCUUUAUAUCCCUCCUGGAAGUACUUUCUGUGCUUUCUUUUGCAGCCAGAUCUGCUUGAUAAAAGGGGGAAGGGGAAGGGAUUGAUAUGGUGUGAAGAAGAUCCAGAUAAUCAAGAUCUUAAAAAAAUCAGUUUAUUGAAGUAUAAUAUCCGUACAAUAAAAAUCAUACAUUUUAAGUUUGCAGAUUGAUGAUUUUUGAACAGUUGAAUGCACCACCACCCAAACCAAAGUGCAGAACAUUUUAAAUUUUUUUAGGAAGUUUCUGUUUACUUUCGUAAUCAUUCAGCCUCCUCCCCCACAACGCCAUUGCAACCAGCCACUAAUCUGAUUUCUAGUACCGUAGACUAGUUUUGCCUGUUCUAGGAUUUUGUAUAAAAGGAAUCAUAUGGUAUACUUAUUUGUUAAGCUUCUUUCUCUCAGAAUAAAGUCUUUGAAAAUUGUCCUUGUUGUUGCAUGUAUUAGCAAUUUCUUUUUAUUGUUGAGUACUAUUUCACUGUAUGGCUAUACCACAAUUUGUUUAUUCAUCAAUUGAAGAAAUUUGAGUUAGUCCUGGUGUUGGGCUUUUAUUUUUUAAUUUAUUUUUAUUUUUUAUUUUUUUUAGGGCUACUCCCAUGGCAUAUGGAGGUUCCCAGACUAGAGGUCAAAUCGAAGCUGUAGCUGCUGGCCUACUCCACAGCCAUAGCAACGCCAGAUCCUUAACCCACUGAGCAAGGUCAGGGAUUGAACCUGUGUCCUCAUGGAUGCUAGUCAGAUUCGCUAACUGCUGAGCCAUGACAGGAACUCCAGUGUUGGGCUUUUAUAAAUAAAGCCGUGCACUACUUUUUAUGGCUUUCAUUUUUCUUGUAUAAAUACCUAAGAGUAGGGAGUUUGUGUCGUUACCUCAGUGGUAACGAACCGGAGUAUCCAUGAGGUUCUAUCCCUUGCCUUGCUCAGUGGGUUAAGGAUCUGGCAUUGUUAGGAGCUGUGGUGUAGGUCGCAGAUGCGGCUUGGAUCCCACAUUGCUGUGGCUGUGGUGUAGGUGGCAGCUGCAGGUCCAAUUUGACCCCUAGCCUGGGAACGAACUUCCAUAUGCUGAGGGUUCGGUCCUAAAAAGACAAAAAAAACCAAAAAACCCAUAAACAAAAAAUCUAAGAGUGGAAUUAACUGGCUCAUAUGAUAAGUGUAUAUUUAACUUUAUGAGAAACUAGCAAACUAUUUGCCUGAGUGGUUGUACCAUUUUAUACUCUGACGAGCAACGUAUGAGGGUACUAGUUGCUGCAAAUCCUUGCCAAAGCUUGAUAUUAUAUAUGUUUUUCAUUAUAGCAUUCUGAUGGGUACAAAGUAGUAAGUAUCUCAUUGUGAUUUUAAUUUUUGAUGCAGUUCCAACUGGUAUUUUUUAAAUUUCAAUUUUCCUUUAUUUGUUGCUAGUAUAUAGAAAUGCAGUUAAAUUUUGUAUAUGACUUUGAAUCAAAGUCAUUUAGUUCUAGCAGUUGUUUCUUUUGUUUUUGUGUUUUUUUUUUUUUUUUGAGGUAUCCUAGGAUUUUUUUACAUAAGCAGUAAUGUUAAUGUCACACUUAAUAACCUUAUUCAGUUUUAGGUGGUAAGGAUAGAAUCCACAUAAUCUGGAUUUGGGGCUCAUUUAGCUUUUUGGAUAUUUGAAUGCCUUAUCUUUUUUUUUUUUUUGUCUUUUGUCUUUUUGGGGCCACACCCCGCAGCAUAUAGAGGUUCCCAGGCGAGGGAUCGAAUCGGAGCUGUAGCUGCCAGCCUAUACCACAGCCACAGCAAUACAGGAUCUACCCAAGUCUUCGACCUACACCAGAGCUCACAGCAAGCCGGGUCCUUAACCAGCUGAGAGAGGCCAGGGAUUGAACCCUCAUAGUCAUGG
rnacentral:lncRNA from 1 species